rnacentral:misc_RNA from 1 species
AACCUAGCACACCUGCGGUGUGUACCUGCGGAGGGAUCAUUAUAGAGUUUUCUAAACUCCCAAACCCAUGUGAACUUACCAUUGUUGCCUCGGCAGAACCUACCCGGUACCUACCCUGGAACUAGCUACCCUGUAGCUACCCAGGAACGGGCUACCCUGUAACGUCCUGCCGGUGGACUUCUAAACUCUUGUUAUUUAUAGUAAUCUGAGCGUCUUAUUUUAAUAAGUCAAAACUUUCAA